AGAGUUUGAUCAUGGCUCAGAAUCAACGCUGGCGGCGUGCCUCAGACAUGCAAGUCGAACGCGAAAGUCCCCUUCGGGGGGCGAGUAGAGUGGCGCACGGGUGAGUAACACGUAGGUAAUCUACCUUUGGAUUGGGAAUAACCACCGGAAACGGUGGCUAAUACCGAAUAAUGCAGCGGCACCUAAUGGUGACAGUUGUUAAAGCGGGGGAUCGCAAGACCUCGCGUCUGAAGAGGAGCCUGCGGCAGAUUAGCUAGUUGGUAAGGUAACGGCUUACCAAGGCGAUGAUCUGUAGCCGGCCUGAGAGGGCGGUCGGCCACACUGACACUGACAUACGGGUCAGACUCCUACGGGAGGCAGCAGUCGGGAAUUUUGGGCAAUGGGCGAGAGCCUGACCCAGCAACGCCGCGUGAAGGAUGAAGUCCUUCGGGAUGUAAACUUCGCAAGAACGGGAAGAAUAAGCAAGGGUUAAUAUCUCUUACGAUGACGGUACUGUUUGUAGCUCCGGCUAACUCCGUGCUANCAGCCCCGGUAUAC
rnacentral:rRNA from 1 species